rnacentral:ribozyme from 1 species
UUUUUUUUGUUUUUCUUUUUUUCUUUUUCUUUUUUUUGAUCCGGCUCUGUUGUUUGGUAAAAGAAGAAGGAGAA